GGCGACUGCGGAGGAUCAUUAUCGAGUUUUGACUGGGUUGUAGCUGGCCUUACGAGGCAUGUGCACACCCUGUUAAUCCACUCUACACCUGUGCACUUACUGUGAGCUUCAGAGCAUGAAUGGGCCUUUGCGGGCUCUUGAAGUGCUUUGGGCUUGCGUUCCUUACAAACUCGAAUGUAACAGAAUGUCUAUUGCGAUAUAACGCAUCUAUAUACAACUUUCAGCAACGGAUCUCUUGGUUCUCGCAUCGAUGAAGAACGCAGCGAAAUGCGAUAAGUAAUGUGAAUUGCAGAAUUCAGUGAAUCAUCGAAUCUUUGAACGCACCUUGCGCUCCUUGGUAUUCCGAGGAGCAUGCCUGUUUGAGUGUCAUGAAAUCAUCAACUUACAAGCCUUUGUGGUUUGUACGCUUGGACUUUGAAGGCUUGUCGGCUUCUAUAAGUUGGCUCCUUUUAAAUGCAUUAGCUUGAUUCCUUGCGGAGCGGUUCUCGGUGUGAUAAUUGUCUACGCCGUGGCUGUGAAGUGUUUGGCGAGCUUCUAAUUGUCUUGCAUGAGACAACACUCUGACCUCUGACCUCAAAUCAGGUAGGACUACCCGCUGAACUUAAGCAUAUCAAUAAGCGGAGGAA
rnacentral:rRNA from 1 species